rnacentral:tRNA from 1 species
ACUCUAUGAGUACAUCAGUAUAUUUGACUUCCAAUCAGAUGGUCUUGAUUAAAACUUCAAGAUAGAGUA